rnacentral:rRNA from 1 species
GAUGAACGCUGGCGGCGUGCCUAAUACAUGCAAGUCGAGCGAACAGACGAGGAGCUUGCUCCUUUGACGUUAGCGGCGGACGGGUGAGUAACACGUGGGUAACCUACCUAUAAGACUGGGAUAACUUCGGGAAACCGGAGCUAAUACCGGAUAAUAUUUCGAACCGCAUGGUUCGAUAGUGAAAGAUGGCUUUGCUAUCACUUAUAGAUGGACCUGCGCCGUAUUAGCUAGUUGGUAAGGUAACGGCUUACCAAGGCAACGAUACGUAGCCGACCUGAGAGGGUGAUCGGCCACACUGGAACUGAGACACGGUCCAGACUCCUACGGGAGGCAGCAGUAGGGAAUCUUCCGCAAUGGGCGAAAGCCUGACGGAGCAACGCCGCGUGAGUGAUGAAGGUCUUCGGAUCGUAAAACUCUGUUAUUAGGGAAGAAUAAACGUGUAAGUAACGGUGCACGUCUUGACGGUACCUAAUCAGAAAGCCACGGCUAACUACGU